rnacentral:lncRNA from 1 species
CUUUAUAAAUGGGCUCCUAGCAUGAAUUAAUUUUAUGAGUCAGUUUCAUGAACAUCUCGAUUUUAAACGACCAAAACGUCGUUAAACUAAACCCAACGAUCGAAACGUCGUUAAACUAAACCCAACGACCGAAACGUCGGUAAACUAAACCCAACGACCGAAACGUCGGUAAACUAAACCCAACGACCGAAACGUCGUUAAACUAAACCCAACGACCGAAACGUCGGUAAACUAAACCCAACGACCGAAACGUCGUUAAACUAAACCCAACGACCGAAACGUGGUUAAACUAAACCCAAAUCCAAACGACCGAAAUGUCGCUAAACUAAACCCAUAUUCAGACGACCGAAACGUCGCUAAACUAAACCCAAAUUCGAACGACCGAAACGUCGUUAAGCUAAACCCAAAUUCAAACGACCGAAAAGUCGUUAAACUAAACCUAAAACUUCAAUCGACUACCAAGUUGCUAAAUUGAAUAUCCAGUCUUAUAAAAUUUAUGUACAGUUGGGGAAUGCCCUUGCUUAAGCCAUGUACACGGCAAAUCAUAUUAAUAAAAUUUUAUUUGCCUGUUUGGUCUCCUUUAUUAUCAGCAUUUAUAUUUGGUCUCUUAAUCGAGGGUUCCUUAACACCGAAAGUGUGGGGUAAUUAACAGCAGAUUCUUGAGUCUAUUGGAAGCCAUGAAUCUAUAAUCCUGAUUUCAAAAUAAAAUUCAAACAAAUUUUAUCUCUACCAUGAAUGACCACUCGCCCUAGAAACAACCAACGGCGGGGCCGGUUCGUUCGCGACAGACAGUCCCUAUGUUGCAGUUUCAUAGUUUACUAGUUCAAGUGCCCCUUCAUGGCACUUUGGUCCAACAAGUUCAAGCAUGAUUUUUGGUGUUCAUGAAUACAUAAUUUAAGUCAUUUUGAACAUAGAAGACAUGUUUUCCAAUUGUUAACAUGAAUACUUCUCACAUGCAUGCAAAACCCUCAGAAUGCUCUACUAUAUAGAGUGAAAUUUUCAUAAUACAUAUGGCAUGCAUUUUAAGUAUUCUAAAAUUCAUAGAAAUUCUAUCUAGCAUGAAUAUGCAUGAAUUUUAACGUUACGACGAGUAUAACACCCAUAGGGGGCAUUUUGCCCCGGUUUCAUAAAAUCAAACC